rnacentral:lncRNA from 1 species
AGGAGGAAAGAGCUGCGGGGAGUGAAAACAGUUGCAAAGCACCCCCGUGCUUCUCUGAGAUGAGGGUUGUGCCCGGAGCUCACAGGAAGGCCAAACUUUUGGGGGUUUGCUUUUGUGUUUGUUAAUUAAAUCCUUUUAAUGAUGCCUAUCGCAGCUGCAUACAAGGCACCAGAUCCCACUUCAGACUCCUGGGGGAGACCAGGGUGGUCUGGUUCCUACAGCCAGGCCUUGGGCUGCACCUGUGCCCUUAAGCUGCAUUCAGAGCACUUGGGAUGAUCUCAGAUAGAGGGAAUGGUGAGGAUGGGAAACAUGGGAGAUGCUCACCUGUGCUCUCUGCCUUAGCUUGGAGCUCCCUCAUUAGGAAUGGCAAGGUGUGCUUGGUCAGCAUGUUGGUUGUUUUGAGACAGAUGUGCAUCACGUUUUGCUGAGCAACACCCCAGGGUGGUGUCAAAGCCCUGCUGGGGUGGCAGCGGUGUCCACGCAGGAGCACAGGGGCUCCUCUCCCCCUGGGCCUUCUCUUCUGUGGCAUCUGGCAAAUAGCUUUGUUGAAGAAAGGAGCACGUAAUGCCAUGGGGUUUCCUUCUGUGGACAGAUGGCUGCUCUGUGAAGGGAUGGUUUGUGAUUUACUGAUAGGCGUUUCUGAGAUGUCCUGCAGGCUGUGGGGUCGCUCUUGGAUGCGGUUGUACCGCAGAGCAGGGGGGAAGGCAUCACUUAGCAUGGAAAUGUCUGCAUGGCAAAGCAUGGGCUGGAAAGGGAGAGGAAACAAAUGGCAGCGUGACUUCAUGGAGGCAAAUGCCUGUUUCUGUCUGUCCUCAGAUUUGGGUGCAAUUGCAGAGUAUCAGAGCUCCAGGCUUCACCCACUGCCUGUGGUUGUCGUGCUGGCAGACCGGCCUGCUCCUCACUUCUCACACCUGUAAUUUAGCUGCUUCUCUUCUGUUUUAAUUACAGUGAUCACCCUGUCUGCUGUGCUGCUGGGGCGGGUGGCUGCUGGGUGCCUUUGGAGCCCACCAUACCAGGGGAGUUCAAGGGGAGCCUUGGAGUUGUCUGCUGCCUGCGUCCCCUGCAGCAGUGGUUUUUCUGAGCCUUGGAAGGACUCUGCUGAGGGGCUUGAAGGAUCCAGCAAGGAGCCAUAGCAAAGAACGGCGCUCUCUAGCCAUCCUUCCUGGUGUCAGGCAAGCUCUAUUGCUCUUCAAGCCUGUGUUGGCACUUGCGGAGUUUCUGUAGGCUUGGGCUCACCUUGCCUUGGUACUCUCUGAGCUUUCUCUGCUCAUUCCCUAGGCUUUCCAUCAACUUCUCUAGAGGUUUUCAAGCAUCUGUGUCCGUUGGAACAACAGGAGGUGCUGAAGAACUGCAGAGCAGUGCAAGGCCUCUGCUGUGGAUCUUGGUGCUGACAUUGCCAUUGCAACUGGCUUGGUGCUCCUCCUCUUUUGGAUCCCUUUUUGCCCUCCUCUCCUCUAUGCUCAUUUGCUCUCCUCUCUUGGGUCCCCUUUUGCCCUGCUCUCCCCUGUGCCUUUUUGUCGUCUUCACUGCCUUUUGAAUUUUAUUUCCCUGACCACCUGUUGGCCCUUUCCUGACCCCCUUUACCUUGCAUCACCCCUUUGCCUUUAUUUUUUUUCCAUCUUUUUCUAUUUAUUUUUCAUUUUCUGUAUCUUUUCUUACUCUUCCCAUUUCCCAGCCCAUUUCAUUUGCUUCUUUUUCCCUUUCAGGUCCCAC